rnacentral:rRNA from 1 species
UACGUAGGGCGCAAGCGUUGUCCGGAAUUAUUGGGCGUAAAGAGCUCGUAGGCGGCCUGUUGCGUCCGCUGUGAAAUCCCCGGGGGCUUAACCCCGGGCCUGCAGUGGAUACGGGCAGACUAGAGUGCGGUAGGGGAGACUGGAAUUCCUGGUGUAGCGGUGAAAUGCGCAGAUAUCAGGAGGAACACCGGUGGCGAAGGCGGGUCUCUGGGCCGUAACUGACGCUGAGGAGCGAAAGCGUGGGGAGCGAACAGG